rnacentral:rRNA from 1 species
UACGGAGGAUGCGAGCGUUAUCCGGAUUUAUUGGGUUUAAAGGGUGCGUAGGCGGCAUUAUAAGUUAGUGGUAAAAUAUUGGGGCUUCACCUCACUACGCCAUUAAUACUGUAGAGCUAGAGAACAGACGAGGUAGGCGGAAUGAGUAGUGUAGCGGUGAAAUGCUUAGAUAUUACUCAGAACACCGAUUGCGCAGGCAGCUUGCUAAUCCGCAUCUGACGCUGAUGCACGAAAGCGUGGGUAGCGAACAGG